CUGGCGGCGUGCUUAACACAUGCAAGUCGAACGAGAGGCGUGAGAAGAAGUUUUCGGACGGAAAUUCAUGCUUCGAGUGGCGGACGGGUGAGUAACGCGUGGGGAACCUGCCUCAUACAGGGGGAUAACAGCCGGAAACAGCUGUUAAUACCGCAUAAGACCCCAGUGCCGCAUGGCACGGGGGUAAAAACUCCGGUGGUAUGAGAUGGACCCGCGUCCGAUUAGCCAGUUGGCGGGGUAAAGGCCCACCAAAGCGACGAUCGGUAGCCGAUCUGAGAGGAUGACCGGCCACAUUGGGACUGAGACACGGCCCAAACUCCUACGGGAGGCAGCAGUGGGGAAUAUUGCACAAUGGGGGGAACCCUGAUGCAGCGACGCCGCGUGAGUGAAGAAGUAUUUCGGUAUGUAAAGCUCUAUCAGCAGGGAAGAAGAUGACGGUACCUGAGUAAGAAGCCCCGGCUAACUACGUGCCAGCAGCCGCGGU
rnacentral:rRNA from 1 species